rnacentral:lncRNA from 1 species
AGUAAGUGAGAACCCACAAUUAUUAUUCAUGCCUUAGAAGUUUAUUCAUAUACCAUCUAAGAAAAGGCUAUGCGGGUAGCAUGUUUGACUAUGUUAGAAGUAUAUAUCGUCUGUCGAAAUUUGACAUUUAUUUAGAAAAUAAUGUGUACCAAACAAACAUACGUUGAAAAUUAAAAUUGACCAUAGGUAUUUUGGACAGUCUUUUUCUGGACAUGAAAAAGCCAACAUGCUAUACAUGGGAGGCAUAGUUGUUUUUAAGCUGGGCAUAGUGGUUUGGACAGUCUAGACGAGUAAAUAUGGGAUACGUGCAUGCUGGGCAUAUUAGUUUGUAAGCUCGGCAACAAUCUCUUUGCUACUUUUCUACACAUUCAAAGGCCACCAACUUCUUAAUUUAA